CUGGCUCAAGAUGAACGCUGGCGGCGUGCUUAACACAUGCAAGUCGAACGAAGCACUUGCAGCGGACUGGAGAGCUUGCUCAAAGGGAAGCAGCAUUUGACUGAGUGGCGGACGGGUGAGUAACGCGUGGAUAACCUGCCUCAUACAGGGGGAUAACAGUUGGAAACGGCUGUUAAUACCGCAUAAGCGCACGAAACCGCGUGGUUUUGUGUGAAAAACUCCGGUGGUAUGAGAUGGGUCCGCGUCUGAUUAGCUAGUUGGCAGGGUAACGGCCUACCAAGGCGACGAUCAGUAGCCGGCCUGAGAGGGUGUACGGCCACAUUGGGACUGAGACACGGCCCAAACUCCUACGGGAGGCAGCAGUGGGGAAUAUUGCACAAUGGGGGAAACCCUGAUGCAGCGACGCCGCGUGGGUGAAGAAGUAUUUCGGUAUGUAAAGCCCUAUCAGCAGGGAAGAAAAUGACGGUACCUGACUAAGAAGCCCCGGCUAACUACGUGCCAGCAGCCGCGGUAAUACGUANGGGGCAAGCGUUAUCCGGAUUUACUGGGUGUAAAGGGAGCGUAAGUGGCGUGCCAAGUCAAGAGUGAAAACCCAGGGCCCAACCCUGGGACUGCUCUUGAAACUGGCAAGCUUGANUGCUGGANAAGUUAACGGAAUUCCUAGUGUAGCGGUGAAAUGCGUAGAUAUUAGGAAGGACACCAGUGGCCGAAGCGGCUUACUGGACAGUGACUGACACUGAAGCUCCAAAGCGUGGGGAGCAAACAGGAUUAGAUACCCUGGUAGUCCACGCCGUAACGAUGAAUACUAAGUGGUGGGGGAACAAAAAUAACUCGGUGGCGGCGCUAAGGC
rnacentral:rRNA from 1 species